rnacentral:rRNA from 1 species
CACGUAGGGCGCAAGCGUUGUCCGGAAUUAUUGGGCGUAAAGAGCUCGUAGGCGGUCUGUUGCGUCCGCUGUGAAAACUCGGGGCUUAACCCCGAGCCUGCAGUGGAUACGGGCAGACUAGAGGUAGGUAGGGGAGAAUGGAAUUCCCGGUGUAGCGGUGAAAUGCGCAGAUAUCGGGAGGAACACCGGUGGCGAAGGCGGUUCUCUGGGCCGUACCUGACGCUGAGGAGCGAAAGCGUGGGGAGCAAACAGG